GACGAACGCUGGCGGCGUGCCUAAUACAUGCAAGUAGAACGCAGUUGCGAACGGGUUAGUAACGCGUAGGUAACUGCCUCAUAGCGGGGGAUAACUAUUGGAAACGAUAGCUAAUACAGCAACCUGUGAGAUGGACCUGCGUUGUAUUAGCUAGUUGGUGAGGUAAAGGCUGACCAAGGCGACGAGACAUAGCGGACCUGAGAUGGUGAUCCGGCAACCUGGGAAUGGGAACCCGCCCAGACUCCUACGGGAAGCAGCAGUAGGGAAACUUCGGCAAUGGACGGAAGUCUGGCUGGACCACGCCGCGGUGGUGAAGAAGGUUUUCGGGUCGUAAAGCUCUGGUGUUAGAGAAGCGGUAACUAACCAGAAAGGGACGGCUAACUACGUGCCAGCCGCCGCGGUAAUAC
rnacentral:rRNA from 1 species